UUUUCACCAGCCAGGCGGGGUGUAGUUGUAAUGCCUUAGCAUGCUAUUGUAGUAUACUCUUCACUGGUUGUUAUUUACUGGCUUUGCAUCAGAAGGCAUAUAAUGUUAUAUACUAAUGUUCUCUUACACAUGCUUCAUAAAUAAAAGAAACGAUACGAAUGUGAGACAAAAGAAAAUCCAGUUCUUCUAUACCAUUCAUGCUUUGUGGUAAAGUCACCUGUAAUUGAUAGUUACCUUGAUAAUGUUUCUCUGGAAGUUAGAGUAUGAUAAGGUUUUGGCAAAGAUACCAGCGCACAUCUUAUACAUCGGACCAUGCAGCUUAUAGAGGUAGAUAGAUAAGAAGUUUUGUUUUAGCAGUCUAUAAUCAAUUUGAGUUGAUAACAGUAGUUGGCACAAUCUUGGAAAUGAGUGUUGUACAAAGUUGUGUCCUUAUGCAUCACGAAAAUUCUGCAAUUUUUAGGACUGGUAUAAUAUUAGCUGGUAUGAAUUACCACUUGCGGAUUGACAGCGCUUCUAGCAGUGUAUGUUUUCAAUCUCAUGUGUGAACUGAAAAUUAUUGGCUAAAGAGAGAU
rnacentral:lncRNA from 1 species